rnacentral:rRNA from 1 species
UACAGAGGGUGCGAGCGUUGUUCGGAAUUAUUGGGCGUAAAGCGCGUGUAGGCGGCCCGGCAAGUCAGGUGUGAAAGCCCUCGGCUUAACCGAGGAAGUGCGCCUGAAACUAUCGGGCUUGAGUACCGGAGAGGGCGGCGGAAUUCCCGGUGUAGAGGUGAAAUUCGUAGAUAUCGGGAGGAACACCAGCGGCGAAGGCGGCCGCCUGGACGGUCACUGACGCUGAGACGCGAAAGCGUGGGGAGCAAACAGG